GUGGGGAAUCUUAGACAAUGGGCGCAAGCCUGAUCUAGCCAUGCCGCGUGAGCGAUGAAGGCCUUAGGGUUGUAAAGCUCUUUCGUGGGGGAAGAUAAUGACUGUACCCCAAGAAGAAGCCCCGGCUAACUCCGUGCCAGCAGCCGCGGUAAUACGGAGGGGGCUAGCGUUGUUCGGAUUUACUGGGCGUAAAGGGCGCGUAGGCGGACAUUUAAGUCAGGGGUGAAAUCCCGGGGCUCAACCUCGGAACUGCCUUUGAUACUGGGUGUCUUGAGUAUGAGAGAGGUGUGUGGAACUCCGAGUGUAGAGGUGAAAUUCGUAGAUAUUCGGAAGAACACCAGUGGCGAAGGCGACACACUGGCUCGAUACUGACGCUGAGGUGCGAAAGCGUGGGGAGCAAACAGGAUUAGAUACCCUAGUAGUCC
rnacentral:rRNA from 1 species